ensembl:lncRNA
GGGCCUGCUGUGCACAUACACAGAUAGACAUGUAGAUACCUUGUCACUGCUCUUCUGCCUCCACUUUUCUGGGGGACUGGGAGUUUUGUCUUCACACAGGAACUUCGCCACAGCAGCAUUUUCCAGUCCGUGGCACCUUGAUCCCAGGAUGUGCUCCGCACCGUGCUUCUAGGGCAUCAACAUCUGCUGUUGCACAAAGGCCCCUGAAAGGAAAAGCACCCUCGCACGUUUGCACUGCUCCCACACUCCCCAGAACUGUCUCUCAAAUCUCCCGUUAACACAGACUCUCUCAGACUCUUGACUGCAGCCCAAUAGCACAGCAUCCCCUCUCUCACUUCAUGAGCCAAGAGGCCAUAGUUGGUGUCCCUUUUUAAGCUUCACAGACCCAAUCAGGCAAGAACUUCGGUUUGCCCAUCCUGCAGCCAGGAAUGCUCCAACCUGAGGGGGGAGUGGCCGUGAGAGCAACGUCUCUGUGCACGUGCAGCUCGUUCCUCCCCUCUGACAGGGGCAGAAGGAGUGAGGCAACAGACAAAAGCAGAAAGCGUCUGCAUAUCCCUCGUGGCUCUUAUUUCCUGCCUUACGCUGGGAAACGAGCUGAGCCGCUGGGCCUCUCCGUUAUGCUUAGCUCUGCAGCUCGGACAUCAUUACACUCAGCUGUUCCUGGGCAUAAUGCUCCACACAACGACCCUGCAGAGCCCAAAGGCCUGCCUGCCUGCCUGCUGUCACUCACCUGGAGGUUGCAGGGUGCUGUGCCUCCUGGCUGGACCUGCUGCUGCUAGCUGUCACUUGCAAGACACUGAGAGUCCACCUGCUUGGAACUGCAGGCAACAAACACAAACGAGAAAGAAGGAAGAAAGGAUUCUUGGAUUGCACAGGCUUCAUUAAAACACGUUCUGCUGUGGAGCACAGCUGCAAGCAUUUCACCUGGGCAAAAAAGGGGUGGAGCCUGGCUCCAGCCCUCCCCACCCUCAUUUCAGGGCUGCCUGUCUAAGGGGAAGAAUCUCUACUGGGAGAUCUGCUCUGUGCUAAUACUUUCUGAGUCCUGUUCUUCAGAAAGGGCUCUUUGUUUACUAGCUUGAGUCCUUCCCCAUACUUAGAAAAAUUAAAACACAGGAAAGCAGCUGGAUCACCUACUGCCUUUCACUACAGUUACCAUUUCAGAUUAUGGAUCAAGGUUGAACUGUACAGAGGGAGUGCAGCCACAAGGCUCUGGCUGUGCCGGGCCUCCCACCAGCCCGGGCCCCAAAGCAGCCCCAGCUGUGCCUGGUCCUCCUCCAUCCUGUGCCCCAAGUCCUUGGCUGUGCCUGGGCCCCCUUUGGACUGAGCCCCGAGUAGGCCCCAACUGCGCUAGGUCCUCCUCCAGCCUGGGCCCCAAAGCAGCCCCAUCUGAGCCUGGUCCUCUUCGAUACCGGGCCCCAAAGCAGCCCAAAUCGUGCCAGGCCGUCGACCGGCCUGGGCCCCAAAGCAGCCCCAACUGUUGCUGGUCCUUCUCCAUCCUGUGCCCCAAGGCCCUGGCUGGGCUUGAGCCCCCUUUUGUCUGGGCCCAGACGAGGCCUCAACUGUGCCAGGCCGUCCUCCAUCCUGGGCCCCAAAGCAGCCCCAACUGUGCCAGGCCCCCUUCCAGCUCAGCCCCCAAAGCAGCCCCAACUGUGCCAGGUCCAUCUCCAUCCUGGGCCCCAAAGCAGCCCCAACUGUUGCUGGUCCAUCUCCAUCCUGGGCCCCAAAGCAGCCCCAACUGUUGCUGGUCCUCCUCUAUCCUAAGCCCCACGGCUAGGGUUGUGCCGGGGCCCCCUGUGCUCUGGGCCAAGAGGAGGCCCCAACUGUGCCAGGCACCCCUCCAGUCCAGGCCCCAAAGCAGCCCCACCUGUGCCAGGCCCAUCUCCAUCCUGGGCCCCAAAGCAGCCCCAACUGUUCCUGGUCCUCCUCCAUCCUAGGCCCCAAGGCCCGAACUGUUCUUGGGCCCCUUUUUGUCUGGGCCCAGAGGAGGCCUCAACUGUGCCAGGCCCCCCUCCAGCCUAGGCACCAAAGCAGCCCCAACUGUGCCUGGUCCUGUUUCAUCCUGGGCCCCAAGGCCCUGGCUGUGCCUGGGCCCUUUUUGGUCUGGGCCAAGAGCAGGCCUCAACUGUGCCUGGUCCUUCUCUAGCCCAGGCCCCAAAGCAGCCCCAACUGUGCUAUGCCCCCCUCCAGCUCAGGCACCAAAGCAGCCCCAACUGUGCCUGGUCCUCCUCCAUCCUGGGCCCCAACACAGCCCCAACUGAGCCUGGUUCUCCUCCAUCCUGGGCCCCGAGGCUCUACCUGUGCCUGGGUCCCCUUCCUUCUGGGCCCACACCAGGCCUCAACUGUGCCAGGCCCCCUCCAGCCUGGGCCCCGAGGCCACCACUGUGCUGCACCACCCUCCGGCACAGGCCCUGCCCCAAGCCCUGCCCCCUGUGGACAGCUCUGCUCUUUGCCUGCUUGUUUUUUUUCCUCUCUUCACUCUGCCAGCUUAACUGGAUGAGUUUCAAUGGGGCCGAGCGUCGGGUCCUGCAUUUUGGUCACAACAACCCCAGGCGUCCCCCCAGUCCUCCUUGGCGAGGAGUGGCUGGAAAGCUGCCUGAUCCCUGAAAGGGACCUUGGUGUGCUGAUGGACAGGUGGCUGAAGAUGAGCCAGCAGUGUGCCCAGGUGGCCAAGAAGGCCAAUGGCAUAACCACAAUUCCUGGCUCAGGAAUGGUGUGGUGAGCAGGACUAAGGAAGUCAUCCUGCCCCUGGACUCGGCACUGGCGAGGCCUCACCUCGAGUCCAGUGUUCAGUUUUGGGCACCUCAGCACAGAAGGGCUGUUGAGGUGCUGAAGCAGGUUGAAAGAAGGGCAACAAGGCUGGGGAAGGCCUUGGACAAUAUGCCCUCUGAGGAGUGAGUGAAGGAACUGGGGCUGUUUAGCGUGGGGAAAAGGAGGCUGAGGGGAGACCUGAUGGGCUCCCUAUUCCACCCAGGGAGCUGGUUCAGUCACCAUCCCUGAAUGUGUUGAAAACCAGGUGGUGCUCGGAGACAUGAUUGAGCAAGGGGUUGUUAGAGUUAGGCUGGUAUGGUUAGGUUGUGCUUAGACUGGAGGAUCUUUAAGGUCUUUGUGGCGACAAAAACUCCAACCAUCUCAAGCCUGGGGGAAAGGGGCUGACCCCAACGGUCACGCAACCCCCCCCCCUGGGGGGAGGGGCUCCCCUAACUGCCACUCUCCAGCUGUCAUGGCAGGUAAGGCAGCAGGCUUCCCCUGCCCCCAUGCUUCAGCUGGCCCCAGCGCUCCAGAUCCCACCCCUGUGCCCCAGAUCUCACCCCAGCAAACCAGAUCUCACCCCAGCAAACCAGAUCCCACCCCUGUAACCCCGAUAUCACCCCCGUAACCCAGAGCUCAUCCCAGAUCUCACCCCAGCGCCCCAGAUCCCACCCCUGUAACCCUGAUAUCACCCCCGUAACCCAGAGCUCACCCCAGUGUCCCAGAUCCCACCCCAGCGUCCCAGAACUCACCUCAGCGCCCCAGAUCCCAGCCCUGUAAGCCCGAUCUCAGCCCUGUGCCCCAGAUCCCACCCCAGCGCCCCAGAGCCCACCCCAGAGCCUGCUUUGGCCUUUCCCCACGGAGAGAAUCCCUCGAGGAGCGCUGACGGUGCCUCUGACACCCGACGCCAUUUUCCCUGAAGCGACUGUGCCGCCACCGGACCCCGCCUGGAUGCAGCCCACCAUCCGCGGACCGAUGCCGGUACCACCCCAAGCCCUCCCUGUCCCCACUGCCACCUACCUGGCGCCUCAGACCUCUGUCUGGCCUGGGGUACCAGGUGUCUGGGGACAGGCAGCGCAGCUCCCCCCUGGGGGGCUGCCCCCAACUGGGGCUCAACUGCCACCUGGGGGCCUGCCCCCAACUGUGGGGCUGCACUUACCGGUGCUGCAGCUGCUACCUGGGGGGCUGCACCCAGCUAUGGCUCCCCCCACUGCCCCUGCUCACUGCUGGGGACAUCCCCUGCUGGCAGGGACGCUGCUGCCCC